GGCUGUGUGGUCUAGUGGUAUGAUUCUCGCUUAGGGUGCCAGAGGUCCCAAGUUCAGUUCUCGGCACAGCCC
rnacentral:tRNA from 1 species